UACGUAGGGUGCAAGCGUUAAUCGGAAUUACUGGGCGUAAAGCGUGCGCAGGCGGUUAUGUAAGACAGGUGUGAAAUCCCCGGGCUUAACCUGGGAACUGCAUUUGUGACUGCAUAGCUAGAGUACGGUAGAGAGGGAUGGAAUUCCGCGUGUAGCAGUGAAAUGCGUAGAUAUGCGGAGGAACACCGAUGGCGAAGGCAAUCCCCUGGACCUGUACUGACGCUCAUGCACGAAAGCGUGGGGAGCAAACAGG
rnacentral:rRNA from 1 species